GAGCGCAACAGGGGCGUACAAACGUUUUCUUCCACAUACGCCAAAAAUCAUGUACAAUACAUGCACUUUUACCCCGCCCGCACGCUUGAAGCACAUUUGAACUUAUUGAAACACACCUAGACUUGUGAAAAGAUACUUUAUAAAAUAUACCUUAGUCUAGCGCACAGGUGUCAAACUGGUGGCCCGGGUGACAGAUCUGGCCCGCCACAUCAUUUUAUGUGGCCCGUGAAAGUAAAUCAAAAUUGCUCGUUUUGCUGCUUCCUCCACUUGCGACCCGUGGAUUCGUUGACGUCGAAUUCUCUCGCGGCUGCUCGAUUCCCAUGUUCCUCCGCGUAACUGAUAGCUUGCAGUUUUGACACCCCUGGUCUCAUUUUGGUGUCCUGGGUCCCGGAUCCAUCUCGACCGAUCAGUCGCUGCAGUCUCGCCGACAUCUCCGCCAGUGAGGAGGGGCCUUAAGAGGCAAAGCGUGCGCAUAAAACAAAAGGUUCAACCAAACCAUAUCAUUUCAUUUCACAAUCACCUGCUAGCUUAAUGCUAACAUCUAAUGGGAAACACCAUAGACCAGCUAAUGGAAAUUUGCAUAGAUUUUAUGGUAAUUCAUAAAACAAAAGGUUCAACCAAACCAUAUCAUUUCAUUUCACGAUCACCUGCUAGCUUAAUGCUAACAUCUAAUGGGAAACACCAUAGACCAGCUAAUGGAAAUUUGCAUAGAUUUUAUGGUAAUUCAUAAAACAAAAGGUUCAACCAAACCAUAUCAUUUCAUUUCACGAUCACCUGCUAGCUUAAUGCUAACAUCUAAUGGGAAACACCAUAGACCAGCUAAUGGAAAUUUGCAUAGAUUUUAUGGUAAUUC